UACGAAGGGGGCUAGCGUUGUUCGGAAUUACUGGGCGUAAAGGGCGCGUAGGCGGUGUGUCAAGUCAGGCGUGAAAGCCCCGGGCUCAACCUGGGAACCGCGCUUGAGACUGGCACGCUCGAGUUCGGGAGAGGAUGGUGGAAUUCCCAGUGUAGAGGUGAAAUUCGUAGAUAUCGGGAGGAACACCAGUGGCGAAGGCGGCGAUCUGGGAAGAUACUGACGCUGAGGUGCGAAAGCGUGGGGAGCAAACAGG
rnacentral:rRNA from 1 species